rnacentral:ncRNA from 1 species
UCUGAGGAGCGUUGCAACGGAUUCUUAAUCCGCUAGGCUCAGACAAGUACGGCACAUUUGCAACGGCGCUCGCUU